UGCCAGCCGCCGCGGUAAUACGGAGGGUGCAAGCAUUAAUCGGAUUUAUUGGGCGUAAAGAGGGCGUAGGCGGGAGCAAAAGUCAGACGUGAAAUCCCGGGGCUCAACCCCGGAACUGCAUCUGAAACUUUGUUUCUAGAGGAUAGGCGGAGAAAACGGAAUUCCACGUGUAGCGGUGAAAUGCGUAGAUAUGUGGAAGAACACCGGUGGCGAAGGCGGUUUUCUAGCUUAUUCCUGACGCUCAGGCCCGAAAGCAAGGGGAGCGAACAGGAUUAGAUA
rnacentral:rRNA from 1 species